GCAGGCUUUACAGGGUCGACAGCAUCCAGCACCUGCAGCAUCUCCUCAUCAAGAGCUAAUGUGGAUUCUCCCAGCAGGAACACUGCUCCUGCUGCUGCUGCUGCUGCCUCCACCCUAUGGCAGAAAACUCAUGAGAUUCAGAUAACGGGUUUCCUGCGACAGUCUGUCUCCGUCUGUUGGCUCACCGGGAGCCUGGAAGCUGCGGUCAGGAAAAAAAAAAUGCAUGUUCGUCACAGCUUUUCUUUUUCGGAGGAGGACCCGACGCGCUCAUCCUGAAGAAGUUGCAGAGUUUUCAACAAACGUGUG